CGAUUGCUUUGUUAAUGCUGUG
rnacentral:siRNA from 1 species